UCUAAACCUAGGCUAGACAUUACUUGCGACUAGAGCUUGGAGGAGGCCUGUGCGAUUUGGAGAGCUUGGAGGAGGUACUGCUUGCGAUUUCAGCUUCGAAGAGGCGCUGUGCGAUUUGGAAAGGUUAGAGAAUGUGCGACUUGAGUUUGGAGAAGAUGCUGAUGCGCGAUUUGGAGACGCUGAUGCGCGAUUAAUAUUAUCUUUAUUAACCAUCUUCAUGUUCGUGAUGAUAAUACACGAUCCAUCCUAAUUCCUAAUCCGUUUUCAGGUUAUGCUGCUAACAGGAUAGUGGCUCAUGUUAUUGAACUCUUGAGCCCUGGGAACACUCCAACAAAAGUUCUUCUUAAGGAAUAAUAUAACCAUCUUGAUGGAAUCAACAUCAAUUAACUCCACUUGGUUGUAUAUAACAUAAUUCUAUCUUCACAUUAUUAACAGGAGGAGAUUCUGGGAAAAUGGACACCAUAUGGGUGAUUAUAUUCCGCAAGAAGAGUUUGAAAAUUUUAUGACUUCGUCACUUCGUGCAAUGAGGCAGCUCCACAUAAAGCAAUCAGGGAUGCUGUAGAGAAGGC